UGGGGAAUUUUGGACAAUGGGGGAAACCCUGAUCCAGCCAUCCCGCGUGUGCGAUGAAGGCCUUCGGGUUGUAAAGCACUUUUGGCAGGAAAGAAACGUCAUGGGUUAAUACCCCGUGAAACUGACGGUACCUGCAGAAUAAGCACCGGCUAACUACGUGCCAGCAGCCGCGGUAAUACGUAGGGUGCAAGCGUUAAUCGGAAUUACUGGGCGUAAAGCGUGCGCAGGCGGUUCGGAAAGAAAGAUGUGAAAUCCCAGAGCUCAACUUUGGAACUGCAUUUUUGACUACCGGGCUAAAGUGUGUCAGAGGGAGGUGGAAUUCCGCGUGUAGCAGUGAAAUGCGUAGAUAGGCGGAGGAACACCGAUGGCGAAGGCAGCCUCCUGGGAUAACACUGACGCUCAUGCACGAAAGCGUGGGGAGCAAACAGG
rnacentral:rRNA from 1 species